CUACGGGGGGCAGCAGUGGGGAAUAUUGCACAAUGGGCGCAAGCCUGAUGCAGCAACGCCGCGUGAGGGAUGAAGGCCUUCGGGUUGUAAACCUCUUUUAGCAGGGAAGAAGCGAAAGUGACGGUACCUGCAGAAAAAGCACCGGCUAACUACGUGCCAGCAGCCGCGGUAAUACGUAGGGUGCAAGCGUUGUCCGGAAUUAUUGGGCGUAAAGAGCUCGUAGGCGGUUUGUCACGUCUGCUGUGAAAAUCCAAGGCUCAACCUUGGACUUGCAGUGGGUACGGGCAGGCUAGAGUGCGGUAGGGGAGAUGGGAAUUCCUGGUGUAGCGGUGGAAUGCGCAGAUAUCAGGAGGAACACCAAUGGCGAAGGCACACCUCUGGGCCGUAACUGACGCUGAGGAGCGAAAGCGUGGGGAGCGAACAGGAUUAAUACCCCAGUAGUC
rnacentral:rRNA from 1 species